UCAACUUUAGUUCUGGGUUUUCUUCCCGGCGCUGGUUCCUGCAGUGGUAUCGGCUCCUGAUUCUCUGCUCAGAAUCUCCGAAACUUGAAAAUACCAAUUGAGAACUGAAAAUCUGAAGAUUUAUAGAGGAAGAAGAUUGGCCCUGAGCUAUCAUCCAUGCCCAUCUUCCUCUAUUUUAUAUGUGGGACUCCUGCCAUAGCAUUGUUUGGUAAGCGGUGCAUAGGUCCAUACCUGGGAUCCAAACCGGUGAACUUCAGGCCUCCGAAGCAGAGUACAAGAACUUAACCUCUAUGCCACCAGGCAUAACUGAAGCAUCGCAAGCCUUGGCUUACUGAGGCAAAUAUCCCUUACUACAUGGAAGAAGAUAAACAAAAGGAUUUCUUCCUGCAGGCAGCCUGGCUGCCCAAAGAACAUAGCAAUUGCUACAGAUUGUGGUGAUUUUGCUCCAAUGACUAGUAUCAGCUGUGAAGAAUGGAAUUGUAAUUGUAUAUUUUAAACUGUAAAGGCUACAUUCAUAUAAUACCUCAUUUGAAGAUUUUGAAAAAUAUUUGCUACCACACAAAGAGGAUGAAAAUGGGAACUGGAAAAUAGUCUCCAUCAAUUAAAUCUGGUAAAUAGUUGUAUGCUUUUAUAUAGUGGACAUUUUCAGAAUUAAGUUGAUAAAAUGCCCCCAGCAUGGAAAACAUGAUAGCCAUUGCUAGCUAUGGUAUACAGGAAUGACUUUCUCUGUAUUUCUUCAAUGUCAAAUGUUAUUUGAAUUUAAAAUUUUGCUUUAAAUAAGCUUGAUAUGGAUAUCAAAUAAGCAAAUGUAAAUGUAUCUGAGACUCCAGUCUGUCUUUGUUUAGAAAAACUAGCUAUUUCCCGCCUAUAUUUUAUAAUUAUCACUAAUGUCAGUUACACAACCAGGAUGAGAACUAGACAAACACACAAAUGUGCAGUUCAGUUAAACUUCACAAUAUUAUCACAUUGCAAUUCAAUCAUGACACCAGUGUUCUUUUGCAAACUUAACACAUACACACAAACACACACACACACUCAGAAACAUAUAGGCACAUAUUGCGUUAAAAUUGUAUUGAAAAGAAAUACCAUGUUUUUAGCAAAACCAGGAAUCCAAAUACUAUUUACUUCAUUUAAGACAUAUUUUACGUCAACCUAUUGAACCUCUCCAUCACCCAAGCUACUCGUUCAUAACGGAAGCAGG
ensembl:lncRNA